UUUAUAUAAGAGUUAUGUAAAAAAUAUGGGGUAAAUCCUCAAAUUAUUAAGGUUAUAAGGGAAAAACAUAACACACUUUAUGUUGAUUUUUGUCUUUGAAGGCUAAUACUUCGUAUUAUGCAAUAUAUCAAUAAUUUUAUUUAUUUAUUUUUGCAAUUAUGCAACAUAUCAAAUAACUUUAUUCAUUUUGAGCCCACAGCUGCAAGGCCCUUUGUAUCUUGCCCAUGCCCCAUGAUAUCAAUUGAAUCUGUAUUUGUCUAUGAAUGAUCCCAAUAAUUUCUAAUGACAAAAUAAUGAUCAGAACCAUGAUGAAUGCAAAAGUUGCAGCAAUGUUCUUCUAGUGACAAUUUAAUGAUCAAAUAUAUUGACAAGCUAAGGUUGCUAAACCAUUUCAUAAGUACUAUUGCAUGAUUAGAUUUAUCAUUCAAGAUUACGAGCUGUAGUCACAAACUUGUACGUGAUCAGAAGAAACAAAUGGAAUUUAAAAUACAGGUUUAGGGACACCGUAAUGCUUUUAGCCUUUAAACUUUUACAAAAUAUGAGAAGACUAAAUUGUUCUUUGAUUUAGCUUUUUCAUAUACUUUACUAAAAUUUUAUAACUCAAUUUUUGUAAUAUUAUAUAUAAUGCAGGUAAGUGUACGAGCACAAC
rnacentral:lncRNA from 1 species